GACGAACGCUGGCGGCGUGCUUAACACAUGCAAGUCGAACGGUAAGGCCCUUCGGGGUACACGAGUGGCGAACGGGUGAGUAACACGUGGGUGAUCUGCCCUGCACUUCGGGAUAAGCCUGGGAAACUGGGUCUAAUACCGGAUAGGACCCUGGGAUGCAUGUCCUGGUGUGGAAAGCUUUUGCGGUGUGGGAUGGGCCCGCGGCCUAUCAGCUGGUUGGUGGGGUGAUGGCCUGCCAAGGCGACGACGGGUAGCCGGCCUGAGAGGGUGACCGGCCACACUGGGACUGAGAUACGGCCCAGACUCCUACGGGAGGCAGCAGUGGGGAAUAUUGCACAAUGGGCGCAAGCCUGAUGCAGCGACGCCGCGUGAGGGAUGACGGCCUUCGGGUUGUAAACCUCUUUCAGCACCGACGAAGCGCAAGUGACGGUAGGUGCAGAAGAAGGACCGGCCAACUACGUGCCAGCCGCCGCGGUAA
rnacentral:rRNA from 1 species